UUCUUUCAUAAGGCUAAUUGAACUUCAUCCCUUGGUUUGAAAACAGUAGCAAGUUUAUUUCACAUGACCUGCAGGCCUAUAAUGUCAUAGUAGUCCAUGGAAGCACCUUAACAAGGCAACAAUGUUUUCUCAGGGAAUACUGAGGAAGAAUAUCUCAAAAUGGAAAAAAUAUUUACGUAUCAGAUGAAAUUUGCAGACCUACGUCUAUGAAAAACACACAUUUCAUAGAACAGCACUGGCAUGGGGGAAGGAGAUUGGCUGCUCUGCAGGCUGCUAAACAAUGAAGGCAUUUUCAGCUGAGCUACCUGAAAUGAUCCCUCAAGCUCCUGUAUCACCCCACAGCAGGACUCCUGUUCUGCAUUUUUGAUCCAAAGCUGGGAAGAUGCUCAGGGAAGGGGAGCUUGGGGGCUGAGUGGAGCCCUUAAAAACUAAAGAAUGAGAAAUGGAAUCACCUAUGCUAAGUGUUCAUGUAAUAUCAAGCUCUUCUUUGGGACAUUGGCAAGCCGUAUUUGUCUGUCAGGUACUAUCAAUCAGCACAACUCCUUGUGAUUUGCGUCUCUUUGUUGUAUUAAAACAGUGAAACCAUGAUGCUUUAGGUGCAGUGGCUGAAAACCUGCUGGGUGUUUAAUGGUAGCAUUUGUACUAUUGGAGAUUAAUAGGAAGUUCUACUUUAAAACCUCUGGCAUCUCAGCAACCAAAACAAGAUGUUGUUAGCUAGCAAGAAGAAUGAAAGAGUCAGCUGUUCAGAAGGACUAAACUGCACAUGCCUUGUGAUAAAUUGCUAAUGUAUUCUAACGUGCACAGAAUUACAGUCUCUUUUCAGCAGCACAGGAGAUAUGUGAAAUAAAUUUCCUUUUGCACUGUUUGCUUUGAAACUCCUAUUUCUUUAUGUGGGAAUGAAAACACAUCCACGCAAAAAAGAGACAACAAACAAGAAGGGAUUAGGAGGUGUGAGCAGCUUCUGCUGUCAUGUGACUGCAGACUGUCUGGCAUGUAGUCCAGAGCAGCAAACCUGCUCUUCAUUUGUAGUUACAGAAGAAUUAUGAGCUGCAGUUAGAUGUAUGGUGUUUUCCCAGUGAUAAAAGGAAGAAUUACAUCCAGCCUGGAAAAAGUAAAAAAUACUUUGAGAAACGAAUAUUUUUUUUUUAAAUUUAAAAUGAUAUAUUUUGGAAGGAAGAAAGUGUAUUAGCUUACCCUGGAGCUUUGCUUCCUUCCUUUUGGAUGCCUGAUUAAAAUCUCUCCUUACUCAACUAAUUCCCUAGCUAAAAUUGCUAAGACUGGAGGCAUUUUACAAAAACAAAACAAAACAACAACAAAA